UUAAGCGACUAAGCGUACACGGUGGAUGCCCUGGCAGUCAGAGGCGAUGAAGGACGUGCUAAUCUGCGAUAAGCGUCGGUAAGGUGAUAUGAACCGUUAUAACCGGCGAUUUCCGAAUGGGGAAACCCAGUGUGUUUCGACACACUAUCAUUAACUGAAUCCAUAGGUUAAUGAGGCGAACCGGGGGAACUGAAACAUCUAAGUACCCCGAGGAAAAGAAAUCAACCGAGAUUCCCCCAGUAGCGGCGAGCGAACGGGGAGCAGCCCAGAGCCUGAAUCAGUAUGUGUGUUAGUGGAAGCGUCUGGAAAGGCGCGCGAUACAGGGUGACAGCCCCGUACACAAAAAUGCACAUGCUGUGAGCUCGAUGAGUAGGGCGGGACACGUGGUAUCCUGUCUGAAUAUGGGGGGACCAUCCUCCAAGGCUAAAUACUCCUGACUGACCGAUAGUGAACCAGUACCGUGAGGGAAAGGCGAAAAGAACCCCGGCGAGGGGAGUGAAAAAGAACCUGAAACCGUGUACGUACAAGCAGUGGGAGCACGCUUAGGCGUGUGACUGCGUACCUUUUGUAUAAUGGGUCAGCGACUUAUAUUCUGUAGCAAGGUUAACCGAAUAGGGGAGCCGAAGGGAAACCGAGUCUUAACUGGGCGUUAAGUUGCAGGGUAUAGACCCGAAACCCGGUGAUCUAGCCAUGGGCAGGUUGAAGGUUGGGUAACACUAACUGGAGGACCGAACCGACUAAUGUUGAAAAAUUAGCGGAUGACUUGUGGCUGGGGGUGAAAGGCCAAUCAAACCGGGAGAUAGCUGGUUCUCCCCGAAAGCUAUUUAGGUAGCGCCUCGUGAAUUCAUCUCCGGGGGUAGAGCACUGUUUCGGCAAGGGGGUCAUCCCGACUUACCAACCCGAUGCAAACUGCGAAUACCGGAGAAUGUUAUCACGGGAGACACACGGCGGGUGCUAACGUCCGUCGUGAAGAGGGAAACAACCCAGACCGCCAGCUAAGGUCCCAAAGUCAUGGUUAAGUGGGAAACGAUGUGGGAAGGCCCAGACAGCCAGGAUGUUGGCUUAGAAGCAGCCAUCAUUUAAAGAAAGCGUAAUAGCUCACUGGUCGAGUCGGCCUGCGCGGAAGAUGUAACGGGGCUAAACCAUGCACCGAAGCUGCGGCAGCGACGCUUAUGCGUUGUUGGGUAGGGGAGCGUUCUGUAAGCCUGUGAAGGUGUACUGUGAGGUAUGCUGGAGGUAUCAGAAGUGCGAAUGCUGACAUAAGUAACGAUAAAGCGGGUGAAAAGCCCGCUCGCCGGAAGACCAAGGGUUCCUGUCCAACGUUAAUCGGGGCAGGGUGAGUCGACCCCUAAGGCGAGGCCGAAAGGCGUAGUCGAUGGGAAACAGGUUAAUAUUCCUGUACUUGGUGUUACUGCGAAGGGGGGACGGAGAAGGCUAUGUUGGCCGGGCGACGGUUGUCCCGGUUUAAGCGUGUAGGCUGGUUUUCCAGGCAAAUCCGGAAAAUCAAGGCUGAGGCGUGAUGACGAGGCACUACGGUGCUGAAGCAACAAAUGCCCUGCUUCCAGGAAAAGCCUCUAAGCAUCAGGUAACAUCAAAUCGUACCCCAAACCGACACAGGUGGUCAGGUAGAGAAUACCAAGGCGCUUGAGAGAACUCGGGUGAAGGAACUAGGCAAAAUGGUGCCGUAACUUCGGGAGAAGGCACGCUGAUAUGUAGGUGAAGCGACUUGCUCGUGGAGCUGAAAUCAGUCGAAGAUACCAGCUGGCUGCAACUGUUUAUUAAAAACACAGCACUGUGCAAACACGAAAGUGGACGUAUACGGUGUGACGCCUGCCCGGUGCCGGAAGGUUAAUUGAUGGGGUCAGCGCAAGCGAAGCUCUUGAUCGAAGCCCCGGUAAACGGCGGCCGUAACUAUAACGGUCCUAAGGUAGCGAAAUUCCUUGUCGGGUAAGUUCCGACCUGCACGAAUGGCGUAAUGAUGGCCAGGCUGUCUCCACCCGAGACUCAGUGAAAUUGAACUCGCUGUGAAGAUGCAGUGUACCCGCGGCAAGACGGAAAGACCCCGUGAACCUUUACUAUAGCUUGACACUGAACAUUGAGCCUUGAUGUGUAGGAUAGGUGGGAGGCUUUGAAGUGUGGACGCCAGUCUGCAUGGAGCCGACCUUGAAAUACCACCCUUUAAUGUUUGAUGUUCUAACGUGGACCCGUAAUCCGGGUUGCGGACAGUGUCUGGUGGGUAGUUUGACUGGGGCGGUCUCCUCCUAAAGAGUAACGGAGGAGCACGAAGGUUGGCUAAUCCUGGUCGGACAUCAGGAGGUUAGUGCAAUGGCAUAAGCCAGCUUGACUGCGAGCGUGACGGCGCGAGCAGGUGCGAAAGCAGGUCAUAGUGAUCCGGUGGUUCUGAAUGGAAGGGCCAUCGCUCAACGGAUAAAAGGUACUCCGGGGAUAACAGGCUGAUACCGCCCAAGAGUUCAUAUCGACGGCGGUGUUUGGCACCUCGAUGUCGGCUCAUCACAUCCUGGGGCUGAAGUAGGUCCCAAGGGUAUGGCUGUUCGCCAUUUAAAGUGGUACGCGAGCUGGGUUUAGAACGUCGUGAGACAGUUCGGUCCCUAUCUGCCGUGGGCGCUGGAGAACUGAGGGGGGCUGCUCCUAGUACGAGAGGACCGGAGUGGACGCAUCACUGGUGUUCGGGUUGUCAUGCCAAUGGCACUGCCCGGUAGCUAAAUGCGGAAGAGAUAAGUGCUGAAAGCAUCUAAGCACGAAACUUGCCCCGAGAUGAGUUCUCCCUGACUCCUUGAGAGUCCUGAAGGAACGUUGAAGACGACGACGUUGAUAGGCCGGGUGUGUAAGCGCAGCGAUGCGUUGAGCUAACCGGUACUAAUGAACCGUGAGGCUUAACCUU
rnacentral:rRNA from 3 species